rnacentral:tRNA from 1 species
GCCAGCAUGGCCUAGUGGUUUGAGUGUCGGACUAGGAUUCUGGAGACCAGGGUUCGAAUCCCAGCUUGGCC